rnacentral:lncRNA from 1 species
UAUUAGGUAAAACUUACUAUCAGAUUCGAUUUUAGAGUAUUUAAAUCAAUUAUCUACACCGUUAAAUAUGAUUUAGGAUAUAUAAAACUCUUAGGAAUAAAAUAUUAAUUUUUUUCGGCAUCGUUUAUUUAGUAAGUAAAUUAUUUCAAAAUGAACGAUAAAAAUUGAACAAUCUUCAAAAUUUGAGGAUAAGACUUUUGAAUUCAAGAUCAAAGAUAGUAACCUUAAUUGAUCUAGAUAGUUAAAAUAUUUUUUAUCAAAAUUUAAACAAAUUUAGAUUUUUCUAUACCGUUAAACUACAAACUCUCUACAGUAGUUAUUGAAAAUAGAGAAUUUUGAAAUAGUUUAAUUAUAAAAUAAAUUAUGUUGAAAAAUAUAAAGUUUUUAUAGAGAGUUCGGCUACUAUACUCUUCUAAGGAUAUAUUUUAUUGCACUGAUACGUUUUCGGUCAUUAGAUCUAUCCCUUAAUCAUUUCCACCUGUUAGAUCAUGCUAUUCAACCACUCACUCACUCAAUUCUAAAGAAUCACCAUCAUUCUAACCGGAAACUACUAUCAUCCUAAACGCAUAUUUUUUUUAUCCAAUAGUUACAAAUUUAUAAAUAUAAAAAAAAUCUAUACUCAUAAAAGUAUAAUAUUCCUGUUAUUUUUAUAUCCAUGAUAUAUAAGUGUACAGUUAGUAUUUGGAUUUUCCAACUACUAAUUAUUCCCCUUUA